rnacentral:snRNA from 1 species
GUGAUCACUUCGGCAACAUAUAUACUAAAAUGGGAAUGAUAUAGAGAAGACUAGCGUGGACCCUGUGCAAGGAUGACAUGCAAAUUCAUGCAGUAUUCCCUAUUUUU